rnacentral:rRNA from 1 species
UACGGAGGGUGCAAGCGUUAUCCGGAUUUACUGGGUUUAAAGGGUGCGUAGGCGGGCCCUUAAGUCAGUGGUGAAAGCUCCGAGCUUAACUCGGAAACUGCCGUUGAUACUAUAGGUCUUGAAUUCGGUCGAGGUUGGCGGAAUGUGUCGUGUAGCGGUGAAAUGCUUAGAUAUGACACAGAACACCGAUUGCGAAGGCAGCUAGCUAGACCGACAUUGACGCUGAGGCACGAAAGCGUGGGGAUCAAACAGG